rnacentral:rRNA from 1 species
AUGUCGUGCGGCCAGACAGCACCCCGCUGCUGGCUCUUCAUCUCUUCGCCGGCGGUGCAACUCCCGCCGCCGUCGGGACACCCGCGCUGCCGCCUCCCCGUUAGGGCCACACGCGCUUCGACCUCCUCCCGCCUCCCAGCCGGUGGCGGCAGCGCGCGCCAGCAGACCCGGCCGCGCCUCGUAGCAGCACACACGAUACCUCCGCCGCCGCCCCCUACCGCCAGGACCGUCCGGAGGGACGCCGCGACGGGGCUCGCUUUCCUCCUCUUCGUGCUCGGCCUGGUGAUCAGCUCAGCUCUAUCACUAGUUAUCGUCUCAUUUCCAGCAUGGAGAGCUCUGCAGCAGAUGGAAAUCGCAGCUCGUAAAUUGUCAAAAUUAGCAGCACAAGAGGUACCCGGAACUAUAUCGUCACUAAAGCUGUCAUUCAUGGAGAUCAACGAUCUAACCAGCCAACUAAAGAAAAUUAGGUAA